rnacentral:rRNA from 1 species
GUCUCCGUUGGUGACCAGCGGAGGGAUCAUUU